rnacentral:rRNA from 1 species
CGGUUAAAAAGCUCGUAGUUGGAGUUCUGCCAGGUGCCGCCUGUCCGCCCCAGUGGUGAGUACGUGGCGCGCAUUUGGCCCUUUCAAGGGGAGCGUAUCUGCACUUUAUUGUGUGGUGCGGGAUCCUUGACUUUUACUUUGAGGAAAUAGGAGUGUUCCAAGCAGGCUCUCGUCGUGCACAGCUCAGCAUGGAAUAAUAGCAUUGGACCUCGAUUCUAAGCUGUUGGUUGCCAGAAGCCAGGUAAUGAUGAAAAGGGAUAGUGGGGGGCAUUCGUAUUUAACUGUCAGAGGUGAAAUUCUUAGAUUUGUUAAAGACGGACUACUGCGAAAGCAUCUGCCAUGGAUGUUUUCAUUGAUCAAGAACGAAAGUUAGGGGAUCGAAGACGAUCAGAUACCGUCCUAGUCUUAACUAUAAACCAUGCCGGCUAGAGAUCGGAGGUUGUUCGU